UAUGGAACUACUGCCUGAAAAAUUGCAAAUCCCCCAGAUCACCGCAUACGAAGGGGAUGGCGAUCCCCUCAGCCACCUUGACAAAUACACCUCGUGGAUGGAACUACAAGAGGCAAGCAACGCAAUCAUGUGUCGGGCAUUCCCCUUGACUCUAGGAGACAAAGCUCAAAGAUGGUUUAAGAGACUGCACGAGAGGUCGGUAAAGAAUUGGAAUGAUUUGGCCACGGCGUUCUUGGCCUAGUUCAUGGGCUCCAAGGCCAGAACCAUGCCAAAGGAACGACUAGUGAGCAUCAAGCAGGGAAGAAGUGAGUCUCUCAAAAGCUAUCUGAGCAGAUUCAACAAGCAAUCCAUGGAAGUGGAAAAAAU
rnacentral:lncRNA from 1 species